GAUGAACGCUAGCUACAGGCUUAACACAUGCAAGUCGAGGGGCAGCAUGGUCUUAGCUUGCUAAGGCCGAUGGCGACCGGCGCACGGGUGAGUAACACGUAUCCAACCUGCCGUCUACUCUUGGACAGCCUUCUGAAAGGAAGAUUAAUACAAGAUGGCAUCAUGAGUCCGCAUGUUCACAUGAUUAAAGGUAUUCCGGUAGACGAUGGGGAUGCGUUCCAUUAGAUAGUAGGCGGGGUAACGGCCCACCUAGUCUUCGAUGGAUAGGGGUUCUGAGAGGAAGGUCCCCCACAUUGGAACUGAGACACGGUCCAAACUCCUACGGGAGGCAGCAGUGGGGGAAUAUUGGUCAAUGGGCGAGAGCCUGAACCAGCCAAGUAGCGUGAAGGAUGACUGCCCUAUGGGUUGUAAACUGCUUUUAUAAGGGAAUAAAGUGAGUCUCGUGAGACUUUUUGCAUGUACCUUAUGAAUAAGGACCGGCUAAUUCCGUGCC
rnacentral:rRNA from 1 species